rnacentral:rRNA from 1 species
AGUGAACGCUGGCGGUAGGCCUAACACAUGCAAGUCGAACGGCAGCACAGUAAGAGCUUGCUCUUACGGGUGGCGAGUGGCGGACGGGUGAGGAAUACAUCGGCAUCUACUUUUUCGUGGGGGAUAACGUAGGGAAACUUACGCUAAUACCGCAUACGACCUACGGGUGAAAGCAGGGGAUCUUCGGACCUUGCGCGAAUGAAUGAGCCGAUGUCGGAUUAGCUAGUUGGCGGGGUAAAGGCCCACCAAGGCGACGAUCCGUAGCUGGUCUGAGAGGAUGAUCAGCCACACUGGAACUGAGACACGGUCCAGACUCCUACGGGAGGCAGCAGUGGGGAAUAUUGGACAAUGGGCGCAAGCCUGAUCCAGCCAUACCGCGUGGGUGAAGAAGGCCUUCGGGUUGUAAAGCCCUUUUGUUGGGAAAGAAAAGCAGCAGGUUAAUACCCCGCUGUUCUGACGGUACCCAAAGAAUAAGCACCGGCUAACUUCGUG